AGGGUUUGAUCAUGGCUCAGGACGAACGCUGGCGGUGCGCCUUAUGCAUGCAAGUCGAGCGAAGCUUUUUGGUAGUUUACUACUAGAAAUGACUGAGCGGCGAACGGGUGAGUAACGCGUGAGCAAUCUACCUUAGUUACUGGGAUAGCCCGAGGAAACUCGGAUUAAUACCAGAUAUUCUUAUUUUUUCACAUGAAGUUUUAAGGAAAGGUCAGCCGAACUAAGAUGAGCUCGCGUUCUAUCAGCUAGUUGGUGGGGUAAAAGCCUACCAAGGCUACGACGGAUAGCUGGUCUGAGAGGACGAUCAGCCACACUGGGACUGAGACACGGCCCAGACUCCUACGGGAGGCUGCAGCAGGGAAUAUUGUGCAAUGAGCGAAAGCUUGACACAGCGACACCGCGUGUGGGAUGACGGUUCUAGGAUUGUAAACCACUUUCAGGAGGGAAGAAAAUGACGGUACCUCCACAAGAAGACCCGGCCAACUAUGUGCCAGCCGCCGCGGUAAUUC
rnacentral:rRNA from 1 species